GUAAUCUGCCUCCGGGUGGGGAAUAACGACCGGAAACGGUCGCUAAUACCGCAUAACGCAGCGGCACCACAUGGUGACAGUUGUUAAAGCGGGGGAACACUUCGGUGUCCUCGCGCCUGGAGAGGAGCCUGCGGCGGAUUAGGUAGUUGGCGGAGUAACGGCCCACCAAGCCCGCGAUCCGUAGCCGGCCUGAGAGGGCGGUCGGCCACACUGGCACUGACACACGGGCCAGACUCCUACGGGAGGCAGCAGUCGGGAAUUUUGGGCAAUGGGCGCAAGCCUGACCCAGCAACGCCGCGUGAAGGAUGAAGCUUUUCGGAGUGUAAACUUCAUAAGAAUGGGACRAAUAAGGAGGGGUUAACACCCCCUUUGAUGACGGUACCAUUUGUAAGCUCCGGCUAACUCCGUGCCAGCAGCCGCGGUAAUACGGGGGGAGCAAGCGUUGUUCGGAUUUACUGGGCGUAAAGGGCGCGUAGGCGGUCGGCCAAGUCACUUGUGAAAUCUCCCGGGCUUAACCCGGAGCGGCCAAGUGAUACUGUUCGACUGGAGUGCARAGGGGCGACUGGAAUUCUCGGUGUAGCGGUGAAAUGCGUAGAUAUCGAGAGGAACACCUGUGGC
rnacentral:rRNA from 1 species